AACGCGAAGAACCUUACCAGCCCUUGACAUCCCGGUCGCGGGAACGAGAGAUCGAUCCCUUCAGUUCGGCUGGACCGGAGACAGGUGCUGCAUGGCUGUCGUCAGCUCGUGUCGUGAGAUGUUGGGUUAAGUCCCGCAACGAGCGCAACCCUCGCCCUUAGUUGCCAUCAUUCAGUUGGGCCCUCUAAGGGGACUGCCGGUGAUAAGCCGCGAGGAAGGUGGGGAUGACGUCAAGUCCUCAUGGCCCUUACGGGCUGGGCUACACACGUGCUACAAUGGCGGUGACAGUGGGACGCAAUGGGGCAACCCUGCGCAAAUCUCAAAAAGCCGUCUCAGUUCGGAUUGUGCUCUGCAACUCGAGCACAUGAAGUUGGAAUCGCUAGUAAUCGCAGAUCAGCACGCUGCGGUGAAUACGUUCCCGGGCCUUGUA
rnacentral:rRNA from 1 species